rnacentral:rRNA from 1 species
AAGUGAGAAUGCCGGUGUGAGUAGCGAAAGACGGGUGAGAAUCCCGUCCACCGAUUGACUAAGGUUUCCAGAGGAAGGCUCGUCCGCUCUGGGUUAGUCGGGUCCUAAGCUGAGGCCGACAGGCGUAGGCGAUGGAUAACAGGUUGAUAUUCCUGUACCACCUAUAAUCGUUUUAAUCGAUGGGGGGACGCAGUAGGAUAGGCGAAGCGUGCGAUUGGAUUGCACGUCUAAGCAGUAAGGCUGAGUAUUAGGCAAAUCCGGUACUCGUUAAGGCUGAGCUGUGAUGGGGAGAAGACAUUGUGUCUUCGAGUCGUUGAUUUCACACUGCCGAGAAAAGCCUCUAGAUAGAAAAUAGGUGCCCGUACCGCAAACCGACACAGGUAGUCAAGAUGAGAAUUCUAAGGUGAGCGAGCGAACUCUCGUUAAGGAACUCGGCAAAAU